CUUUGAAUGAUCAUGUGCGACUGAAAAGCCAGGGAUUUUUUUUCUUUCUCUCGGAGCCCCUCCUUAUAUUCAGAGAGACUCGAGUCGCCGUCUGUAGCACAUGUCACAUCCACUGGUUGCUAUAGCGAUGCCUCCACAUGUUGUCCAGAGCGCGCGCGGGGUAGAGGGCCAGCUUGAAUGGACGGAGAGCUUGUCACUCAUUUGUUCAACUAUUCGGGAUUUCUGUGCCUGCUGGAUCGCUGGAUUUUCCCCACAUUUUCUCCCAUGUCUUUCACCCGUUAUAUUGCAAUCAGAACUAACUAAUGUUGCAACGCCUACUACCAACUACAGUCAGUACGAGCCAGACAGAGAAGGACGCUUCACUCUCCACUGCCUAGAACGACCCGACGUUUUACCGUGACAGCUGUAGUUGGCAGAAAUCAGAGAGGAACAAAAAGUGGUUCGCCCCAUUCCAGAAUCUCUAAAACAGACUACAGAAGGAGGAAGUGAUGUUAAACAAGCAUCCACAUGGAGGGUGAAGUCAGGCUGCCUCCAACCAUACCCACAGCACCAUCUAUCAGUGUCUCU